UGGGGAAUAUUGCACAAUGGGCGCAAGCCUGAUGCAGCCAUGCCGCGUGUAUGAAGAAGGCCUUCGGGUUGUAAAGUACUUUCAGCGGGGAGGAAGGGAGUAAAGUUAAUACCUUUGCUCAUUGACGUUACCCGCAGAAGAAGCACCGGCUAACUCCGUGCCAGCAGCCGCGGUAAUACGGAGGGUGCAAGCGUUAAUCGGAAUUACUGGGCGUAAAGCGGACGCAGGCGGUUUGUUAAGUCAGAUGUGAAAUCCUCGGGCUCAACCUGGGAACUGCAUCUGAUACUGGCAAGCUUGAGUCUCGUAGAGGGGGGUAGAAUUCCAGGUGUAGCGGUGAAAUGCGUAGAGAUCUGGAGGAAUACCGGUGGCGAAGGCGGCCCCCUGGACGAAGACUGACGCUCAGGUGCGAAAGCGUGGGGAGCAAACAGG
rnacentral:rRNA from 1 species